rnacentral:rRNA from 1 species
UACGUAGGUGGCAAGCGUUGUCCGGAUUUGCUGGGCGUAAAGGGCGUGCAGGCGGUUUGUUAAGUGCAGGGUGAAAGCCCCCGGCUCAACUGGGGAGGGUCACGCGAUACUGCUCGACUCGAAGGCAGGAGAGGGAAGUGGAAUUCCCGGUGUAGUGGUGAAAUGCGUAGAUAUCGGGAGGAACACCAGUGGCGAAGGCGACUUCCUGGCCUGUUCUUGACGCUGAGGCGCGAAAGCUAGGGUAGCAAACGGG